rnacentral:lncRNA from 1 species
AUUAAAUCGUUCUGUGUGUUCACAUAUACCCCAAAGUCCAUAUACAAUGAUUUUUCCAUAAAAAUCGUAAAAUCAUCUCUAAAAUCCUACAUACAGUAAAGACAAGACAGCAACUAUUACUGAAUGCUGUAAGGGUUAUGAGAAAAGCAACAGCACCACAAAUGGCUAACCUUGGGCAUAAGUACAGGAGGCAGAAAGAUUGUGUCCAAGAUUUUCAAGAACCAUAGAAAAUCAAAUUGAAUGAUUCCAGGUUUAUACUUGGUCGACAAAAGAGCAACACUGAUGCUAAUCUAUGUACAAAAAUAAUUUCAUUCUCCCAGUUUAUAAACAUAAGCUUGAAAGAAAUAACUUUCACAGUAAUAAAAAAAUAAAAGAAGUAACUGCUCUAUGUGGUACAAACUAAAAAGGAAUUCUCACCAUUUAUGUUUGA